CCCUUAGAUGUUCUGGGCUGCACGCGUGCUACACUGAUAUUGCCAAUAUGUCAUUCUUAUCCGAAAUGGAUUGGGUAAUCAAGUAAUGAAAUUUCAUGCUUGGAAUCGGUAAUUGCAAUUUUAUCGUGAACGAGGAAUUCCUAGUAAGCACUAGUCAUCAGCUAAUGUUGAUUAUGUCCCUGCCCUUUGUACACACCGCCCGUCGCUACUACUGAUUGGGUGUUCAAGUGAGAUGCUUAGACCCUUGUUGCAUGGUUCAUUAUUGUGCUCCGAAAGGAAAAAGUUUCAAGCUUAAGUGUCUAGAGGAAGUAAAAGUCGUAACA
rnacentral:rRNA from 1 species